UCGUGAGAUUACUUACACUCUUACUUCCAAUCGUUUUUUUUCAGAAGAAUCCAGCGCUCUCCGCCUUCGGCUUGAAGCUUCUCUCCGCUAGGGUAACGUUGUCGCUCAAGAUGGCCCCCGCGACUUCUACCCUCCUCGCUCCGGAGCUCUUAUUAGAGCUUGCCGGAGAGUUGGGGAGUCCGGAUUGGGGCUCUGCCGAGCAAAAUUCGCCCCCGGGACGCUCUUCCCGAGGUUCUAAGGGGCGCAGCGUCGCUCUCGCUGCCCUCCCCACUCCUAGCAGAGACGGGCCGUCUCAGAGACGAGACGGGACCCCGCCGAUCGGCGCUGGCGCUGAACCGGAAGCC